GUGGAAUUGUGAUAAAGAAGUCAAUACGUCCUUGCUCAAUACGUUGAAGGCGUCAUCCUUAGCCUAAACAUGUGUUACUGUAAUCUGAAUUUCAAAAUGACUGAGUGACGGUUUUUUUAGACGUACUUGUCAACUCCGUCGUAGCGAAUCACAUAACUUUGACAUAAUCAAUAAUAUAUUACAGUGAAUACGAGCGAAAAAUAUCUUUAUAAGUGGAGAACUGUCGCAUUAAAAUUAAAUACACAGCAAAAUUCACAAAGUCUAGGC
rnacentral:lncRNA from 1 species